rnacentral:tRNA from 1 species
ACCAGAUUGUCCGAGUGGUUAAGGCAUUGCACUCAAGAUGCAAUGGACAGAUGUCCUUGUGGGUUCAAAUCCCACUCCUGGUA